ACGGGGAGCAGCAGGCGCGAAAACUUUGCAAUGUGCGAAAGCACGACAAGGUUAAUCCGAGUGAUUUCUGCUAAAGAAAUCUUUUGCUAGUCCUAGAAACACUAGUGAAUAAGGGGUGGGCAAGUUCUGGUGUCAGCCGCCGCGGUAAAACCAGCACCUCAAGUGGUCAGGAUGAUUAUUGGGCCUAAAGCAUCCGUAGCUCGUUUUGUAAGUUUUCGGUUAAAUCCAUACGCUUAACGUAUGGGCUGCCGGGAAUACUGCAUAACUAGGAAGUGGGAGAGGUAGACGGUACUCGGUAGGAAGGGGUAAAAUCCUUUGAUCUAUUGAUGACCACCUGUGGCGAAGGCGGUCUACCAGAACACGUUCGACGGUGAGGGAUGAAAGCUGGGGGAGCAAACCGGAUUAGAUACCCGGGUAGUCCCAGCUGUAAACUAUGCAAACUCAGUGAUGCAUUGGCUUGUGGCCAAUGCAGUGCUGCAGGGAAGCCGUUAAGUUUGCCGCCUGGGAAGUACGUACGCAAGUAUGAAACUUAAAGGAAUUGGCGGGGGAGCAC
rnacentral:rRNA from 1 species